rnacentral:rRNA from 1 species
GACGAACGCUGGCGGCGUGCUUAACACAUGCAAGUCGAGCGGUAAGGCCCUUUCGGGGGUACGACGAGCGGCGAACGGGUGAGUAACACGUGGGUGACCUGCCCUCAGCUCUGGGAUAAGCCUGGGAAACCGGGUCUAAUACCGGAUAUGACUCCAUGACGCAUGUUGUGGGGUGGAAAGCCUUGUGCGGCUGAGGAUGGGCCCGCGGCCUAUCAGCUUGUUGGUGGGGGAUGGCCUACCAAGGCGACGACGGGUAGCCGGCCUGAGAGGGCGACCGGCCACACUGGGACUGAGACACGGCCCAGACUCCUACGGGAGGCAGCAGUGGGGAAUCUUGCGCAAUGGGCGAAAGCCUGACGCAGCGACGCCGCGUGAGGGAUGACGG